GUUAGGAAUCUUCCACAAUGGGCGAAAGCCUGAUGGAGCGACGCCGCGUGAGGGAUGAAGGCCUUAGGGUUGUAAACCUCUAAAAGAGGGACGAUAAUGACGGUACCUCUUGAAUAGCACCGGCUAACUCCGUGCCAGCAGCCGCGGUAAUACGGAGGGUGCAAGCGUUAUCCGGAAUCACUGGGCGUAAAGGGCGCGUAGGCGGUCUGUUAAGUCCGAUGUUAAAUCCCGGGGCUCAACCCCGGAUAAGCGUUGGAUACUGGCAGGCUAGACGGUUGGAGAGGCGAGUGGAAUUACCAGUGUAGCGGUGGAAUGCGUAGAUACUGGUAGGAACACCCAUUGCGAAGGCAGCUCGCUGGACAACACGUGACGCUGAGGCGCGAAAGUGUGGGGAGCAAAC
rnacentral:rRNA from 1 species